rnacentral:pre_miRNA from 1 species
CAAAUACUCCCUCCGUCCGAAAAUACUUGUCAUCAAAAUGGAUAAAAGGGGAUGUAUCUAGAUGUAUUUUAGUUCUAGAUACAUCUCUUUUUAUCCAUUUUGAUGACAAGUAUUUUCGGACGGAGGGAGUAGCUC